GAUGAAGAACGUAGCGAAAUGCGAUAAGUAAUGUGAAUUGCAGAAUUCCGUGAAUCAUCGAAUCUUUGAACGCACAUUGCGCCCCCUGGCAUUCCGGGGGGCAUGCCUGUCCGAGCGUCAUUUCUGCCCUUAAGCACGGCUUGUGUGUUGGGUGUGGUCCCCCCGGGGACCUGCCCGAAAGGCAGCGGCGACGUCCGUCUGGUCCUCGAGCGUAUGGGGCUCUGUCACUCGCUCGGGAAGGACCUGCGGGGGUUGGUCACCACUAUAUUUUACCACGGUUGACCUCGGAUCAGGUAGGAGUUACCCGCUGAACUUAAGCAUAUCAAUAAGCGGAGGA
rnacentral:misc_RNA from 1 species